rnacentral:rRNA from 1 species
UACGGAGGAUGCAAGCGUUAUCCGGAAUGAUUGGGCGUAAAGCGUCCGCAGGUGGCAAUGUAAGUCUGCUGUCAAAGCGUCUGGCUCAACCAGAUAAAGGCAGUGGAAACUACAUAGCUAGAGUAAGGUAGGGGUAGAGGGAAUUCCUGGUGUAGCGGUGAAAUGCGUAGAGAUCAGGAAGAACACCGGUGGCGAAGGCGGCUACCUGGACCGGUACUGACGCUGAGGCGCGAAAGCUAGGGUAGCAAACGGG